UACAGAGGUCUCAAGCGUUGUUCGGAUUCAUUGGGCGUAAAGGGUGCGUAGGCGGCGCGGUAAGUCGGGUGUGAAAUUUCGAGGCUUAACUUCGAAACUGCAUUCGAUACUGCCGUGCUUGAGGACUGGAGAGGAGACUGGAAUUUACGGUGUAGCGGUGAAAUGCGUAGAUAUCGUAAGGAAGACCAGUGGCGAAGGCAGCUCGCUGGGACGGUACUGACGCUGAGACGCGAAAGCGUGGGGGAGCGAACAGG
rnacentral:rRNA from 1 species